UGGUUCAGAUUUGCAAGCUUGUGAAAUUGGUGGUGGUCUUGAUGAAGUUACAAAUUGGUUGUGAUGUGUGUUUGAAAGAAGGUGUGCUGCAAAUGGAUUUGGAGGAACAUAGAAGGUUGGGUUGCUGAUGUAAACUGAAGAUACGGAUGAGAUAGAGGAGGAAUUCCUUCAUUCAGGUAUUACUCUGUUUCACAGAAGAAAAAAAAGUAUAGAAAACCUUUCAUUCUGGAUCAUCUUAAUGAUGUUUUUUGCGACCGCAUAGAUGGUACUGAUGAGCUUGGUAACAUUACUCAUAAACUUAGUUCACUCAUUUUCUCGGUAAGUGCUGUAAUUUCUUCCUUUACAUUUAAAAAUAAGUGGUGCUCAGUAUCUGUUUUCAGUACUGCAACUUAGGAAUUGACUAAUGCGUGCUUUUUUUAACUAUUGAUGCAUAUUUCAAUAAAUCAUUUUAAUCCCUUUUUAGGAAAGUAUUUACCUGAUUGGUAAGUAAAUCAAGACUAGAAAUUGUAAGUGAUUUGAAGACAAAUCAGAAAAAAGUGUUUUGUUUGCCAUUAGCAAACCUGGCCUGAAUUUGGCUACUGAAUUUACCAUUACAGGCAUUCCUUAUGGUACUUCUUGCUUUGCAAAUUAUUGAGACUGUUUAGACAUAUUGCUUUGUAGGGUUGUUUUCCAUUGUGGAUUAAAACAACUAAAAUAAGAAUGCGAAAAAGAAAGAGGAGUGGAUGGGAGAGUCUCAAUGCUUUUAUUAUUUUUUGCAUUUGAUAGUUUCAAGAGCUAUCUCAUCCAAGUAGAGCUGCAAGUAAUGAGAGAAAGUCAAGUCAUCCCAUGGCUGCUGUACUGGUGGAUUACGAAGGUUCAAACUCUAUUAAACCAGUCCCUCAGGUCAUGGUAACACAGACGAAGAACUGCUUUUCUAAAGGAGCUUAAUUUAUACAAAUGGACAUCAGCUGCGUACAAGACACUAACCUCUUUUUCAAACUUUUCGUGUUGAUGGAGGACAUGGUACUAUCUUACAUAAUGCAGUGGCUCAAGAUGACUUUGGGGUGCUUGGGGUGUUGACAUACAUACCCAACAUUCAAACAAGGAAAAAAGAUGACGAGAAGCAGCAGAAGAUGCCUGAACUAAAUCAGUUAUACAUAAUGCAGUGGCUCAAGAUGUCCAAAGUUAUAUGUCAUAAUCCACUUGUAGGUGGUGAUUACUGUGAACAAAAUCAGUGGAUGAGAUGUUCGUCUCAAUGGGUUUAUGAAGAUGGUAGUGCUGUUUAAACAGGGAAGAAGAACAAGUCUGUGUUGCAGCUGAAUUGAAAUGACAAUGGUGUUGAUGUAGCUGUUGCAGUUGUGGUUUAAGCUAACAAGAUUGUGAUGCAGCAAGAUAGAAGAUUACUGAGAAGAUGGAGC